rnacentral:lncRNA from 1 species
UAAGAUUCGUUUUCCCUUUUGCGGAGUCGAAUGUCCAUCCUGUAAGUCGAUUUGCUUUUUCAAGCCCUCCUUUCGGAUGAUGAGUGUUUUGGAAGUAAACCCCAAUUCACGCUUUGGUCGGUCACCUAUUAUAUACCCAGUAACCGAUAUCCCUGGUGUUCCUUCCUUUCUGCUCCCUAUUAUGACCUCGGUCCCCUAUGGAGUCAGAUUUUCCUGAGUUGAUGUACCUUUGUUAGGUCUUCCUCAGAUGAUUUGGUUGAUUGAUAUCUCUC